GGGUCAGUCUGAUCACCACUGCUGGUCUUCUCAUAUGAUGAUAGUCAGCUGACGUCCAGACCUCCUCAGCUCCCACUGUAGUGACCUCAGGUUCCUCCUCUCACUCUCACUGAUCUCGUUACCACACAACCUCAGUGCCUCUAAUUUACAGUUGUCACUCCUGAGCCCCUCACUCAGCUGACGAGCCCCUGAAUGUCCCAGCUUGUUGUUGCUCAGGUUCAGAUAUGUCAGCUGUGAGUUUGGAGACGAGAGGACCGAGGAGAGAGCUGAGCAGCAGGCUGAGGUGAGACCACAAGACCACAACCUGUGGAGAAGAAGAGAGACGAGUGAGGACAGACAGACAGACAGAAGGACACACAGCACAAGGGCUCAAUGACUGCGCCGUCUUCACUGAAAUGCACUUUGACCCUGAGACCACCGCUGUCCUUAUAAGGUAAGGCGCUAUAUACC